CUUAAAUGUACCACGAUAGAGACAGAGAGAGGCGAUGAGUACACGGAGAAAGAAGCAGAGAAAGAGAGAGGCGAUGAAAUCAAAAGCAUAGGCAGAACGGUAAAAGGCACGGAGUGGGGACUGGGAGAGAGUAAAUCUGCCACCAUCAUCCGUUUUUCUUCACGCUGCCACUCUCUAAUACGCAAACCGAAAUCGUGAGAUAGAGUUCGUAAGAGGGAUAAUCGUUUCGGUACAAAUCAAAAGAAAAAAGACUGGGAUAGAGAGGGGGAGUUCACUAAGAGAGACAGAGUUUGUACGGUGUUAAGAGAGAAAUAUCUAAGUUCCACCGUUAUGGUCAGUUUUUCCGCCGCCAUCCGUUCCCUUGCCAGACUCAGAACACCGAAACCGCAGGCACACACAGGAAUUGAGAUUGAGGAAGAGAAAUUUAAGUUUCAUUAACUCCGUCGAUCUGGCCAUUUACCUGCCAUCAUCAGAUCGCCGAAACUACCACCGAAGCAAAUGUAGAAGCCACAGAAACAGUUUCAUUCUUGGUCUACACCAUUGAGAGAUCAGCAAAAUCUUAAGCAACUUGGAGUCAACAAGCCUACAGCUCUUGCUUUUAUGCUCUUUGCUUUCAUGUGGAGGGUGGCAUUGACAAAUUGUUACUUUCUAAUUGGAAGAGUUAAGAGUUCCAAUAUGGUCAGUAUAUUUUGUUUUAGUAUGUCUAAUCUUUUUAGAAUAUUUGAAAAUGAACCAAAUGCUAAAAUCUUAAAUUGGGUUUCAUGACUUAGUUUUGGGUAUUUUGGUUGGGUUUUAGUUUUUUGGGUUAGAUUUGUAUUUUGGUUUGGGUUUCUAUAUCAAAGCCAGAAUUUUUUCCUUUCCUUCGAUUUGAAUAUAACUAAGAUUUAUGACUUAGUUUUGGGUAUUUUGGUUCGGUUUUAGGUUUUUGGGAUAGAUUUGUGUUUUGGGUUUUUGGGUUUCUGUAUCAAAGCUUUGUCUUUUUAGUUUAUAUUCUCUAUUUGUCUUUUAACGUCGUGAAUGAUUUCAGGAAUAUAGCACUAACGCAGAAGAUUAACCUCAAGUCGAACUGUGGACCUGUCAAGGUGAAUGGUGAUGUUUCAAUUCAUCCGAGUGAAAUAGAGCUGGCACUUCAGUGCAUCAUGGCUAGAAUAUGGCUAAUCUAACUAAAUUGUUUUUUGGUUAAAGAGAUCUUAGACUUAAUUUUCUGCUAUUGGGGAAUUUUGAACUUUUGGCAUUGUUAUUGAACCUAACUCUAUAUUACACAAUUGUCAUUUUUGUUUUUUUUGAAGUGAUUGACAUUAACAAGCCUUUAUUAAAAAUAUUAACUAUUGUACAU